UAAAAGCUAGCCCAAACACCCCCUUAAUCGAAUGCGAAAUCAGAAAUCCGGUGCCCCGAUAUCUAUUGAUCAACAUUCUGUGUGAUCCGUUAACUGUACGCCUGAAGAAGUUAUUCUCCGAUGAAGUGUCGAUCUGUUGCUUGCAUAUGGUCAGAAUCACCACCGGUUCACAAAGUUACCGCCACCGCCAUACUUGACCGCCCUGCCACUCUGUACACCGGCGGAUCCGAUGGCACCAUCUUCUGGUGGAAUCUAUCCUCCACUAACUCCGAUCACGAUAUAAGACCAGUUGCUAUCUUAUGUGGUCAUACUGCACCGAUUUCUGACUUGGGUAUCUGUUUCCCUGCAUCAACUCUAGGAGAUGAAAAGACGAGCGACUCAAGUAAUGUGGCACCGAACUCUUGUUCAGCUAACUGCGGUUCUCUAAUAAGCGCAUGUACAGAUGGUGUAUUAUGCGUUUGGGGCAGAGACACCGGACAUUGCAGCCGAAGAAGGAAAAUGCCAGCUUGGGUCGGGAGUCCAUACAUGGUUCAGUCAUUGCCCGAAAAUAAAAGAUACGUAUGUGUCGCAUGUCGGUUCAUUGAUUCAGUUAAUUUGUUAGACCAUCAGUCACUUGAUUCUGUUGAACACGGUGAACCACAGUCCAACAAACAUUCAAAAUGCACAGUUGUAGUUAUUGAUUCAUAUACCUUGACCAUAGUGCAAACCGUGUUUCGUGGUACUUUAUCUAUCGGGCCUUUCAAGUUUAUGUCUAUAGUGACACCUGUUGGUGAUAUGGAGAAGGAAUCAGUGCUAAUAGCUGACUCAUUUGGUAAUUUUCAAUGUGUAUCACUGUUAAAAGAUACCAAUCGAAACGAAGAUAUGUUAGAUGACUCGCAAAAGAACUCUUGCCACCUGGAAGCAUCAGAUUGGAUUCAAGAUUCAAGCGAAGGAGAAGUUCCGAUUUCGUUUGCUGCUUCCGGGCAGGUUUUAGUCAUUCUGUACAAGAGCCAUUGCGUAUUUAAGCUGGUGGACGGUAGUGCUAAGAUUGGAGAGAUUUCACUCUUGGAUGAUGAUGUGGCAGGGUGCAUGUUUCUUGGAAGUGAUUACCGUAGGACGACGCCAAGUGGUGAUGAAAGCAUUAACAUAUUUGAAGAAACAUUUGCUGUGUGGAACAUCAAAGGUUAUUUAAUUAUGUAUACUGUAUCAUAUUCGGGAAAAACAUUUAAACACACCAGUCUAUGCUCGGUCCCUGCUGUUUCACUUCAUCGUAAUGUUGAACUAUCAUUUUCUUUUGUUCUAAUAAAUCAAAAUAUUGUCCGUAUUGAAUCGGUUUCUGUAAACACUGGAGAACCAAGCCAUUGGAAACCGUUGGUGACAAUAUGGGAAUUGAGUAAUAAUGAUGAAAAGUGUCAUCAAGAAUGCAAAUUGGUUGGAAAAGGAAGCUAUUUUGAUGAGUGGUUUGUGGAUACAAGUGAAGGACAAAAUGGUCUUUUCAGGAGGGAAUCUGUGGUCACUUCUUCAAUGGUUAUUUCCGAAAACGACUCUUCACCGUAUGCAAUAGUUUACGGAUAUGAUAGUGGAGAAAUUCAAGUUUUACGGUUCAAUAUGUUCUCUGAAAGAAUGGAAGAUCAAGAGGCAGAUUCAUGUGCACGGAAGCAGUAUCUUUCGGGCCACACGGAUGCUAUCCUAUGUCUGGCUGCACACCAGAUGGUUCGUACAUCCACAGGAUUUAACUCCAACAUAUAUUUAAUAUCAGGAAGUAAGGAUUGCACAAUACGUAUAUGGGAUCUUAAUUCCGGUAAUCUUGUAUCUGUGAUGCACCAUCAUGUACAACCUGUUCGCCAGCUCAUCCUACCCCCGGUCCACACUGAUUAUCCAUGGAGUGAUUGCUUUUUAUCUGUUGGAGAUGAUUCGUGUGUCGCUUUAGCUUCACUUGACACUCUACGGGUCGAGAGAAUGUUUCCGGGCCACCCGUUUAUACCUUCAAAAGUCGUAUGGGAUAGUACACGAGGUUAUCUUGCGUGUUUCUCUCUGAAUCAUUCAGCAACAUCUGAUUCAUCUGAUGUGUUGUACAUUUGGGAUAUAAAAUCAGGUGCCCGUGAGCGUGUUCUUCGUGGUAGUGCUGCUCAGUCGAUGUUUGACCAUUUCUGUACAAGCGGGAAUAAGAAUAAUGUUUCUCUAAGUUCAAAUGAGCGAAACACAUCUGUUUCUUCUUUGAUUAUGCCAAUAACUGACGAUACAGGAGUUUCACAAUCUCAUCCAAACGCUCAAGAUUUCUCGCACAACGCACAUCCAAUUACAUGUUCUUGCCCGUUUCCUGGAAUAGCAACACUCACUUUUGAUAUGACAUUAUUGAUGUCACCUAGAGUUGACUCUUUCGAAAGUCCAAAUGAUACAAAUGAGGUUCAGACCUCGAGAAACGGGUUAGACCGAAUGAGCAACCUUUUCAAAGAACGGGUUGCUGAAGGGCCCGGACCGUACUCGUUGAAUGCUGAUGGUGGAGAUGGGUUACAAGAAACCUCACCAGAUGCUACAGAAUACACUGAUUGGGCUCAAUCAUUAGAAGGAUGUUUAUUUCGGUUCAGUUUGUCUGUUUUGCACUUGUGGAAUGUUGAUCAUGAGCUGGACAAACUGUUGACCUCUGAGAUGAAGCUUAAGAAACCUAAGAAUUUCUUUGUAGCUUCCGGUUUGCUUGGAGACAGAGGGUCUCUCACGUUGACUUUUCCUGGUCCAAGUGCAACACUCGAGCUAUGGAGAUCAUCGUCUGAGUUCUGUGCUAUUAGAUCAUUAACUAUGGUGUCCUUUGCCCAACACAUGGUUAGCUUGUCUCAUUCAUGCUCUGCAGCAAGCAGUGCUUUAGCAGCUUUUUACACUCGCAAGUUUGCAGAGAAAUUUCCAGACAUUAAGCCACCUUUGCUCCAGCUUUUAAUCAGCUUUUGGCAAGACCAGAAUGAACAGGUCCGAAUGGCUGCACGUUCACUGUUCCACUGUGCUGCUUCAAGAGCCAUUCCUCGUCCCCUACGUGCAGACAAUAAUAAUAAUAAUCUAUCGUUAAAUUCAGAAUUGGAGGAGAAACUUCCAGAAGAUUUGAAAUAUGAAAAGGAUGAUUCUGAAAUGGUAGCAUGGUUAGAAUCAUUUGAACGUCAAGAUUGGAUAUCUUGCGUUUGGGGAACAAGUCAAGAUGCAAUGACUUCUCAUAUUGUUGUCGGUGCCGCUUUGGCUGUUUGGUAUCCGAGUCUUGUAAAGUCAACUCUUGCGAUCCUAUGCGUACAUCCGUUAUUAAAGUUAGUUAUGGCCAUGAAUGAAAAAUAUAGUUCCACUGCAGCUGAGAUUCUCGCAGAAGGUAUGGAAAGCACAUGGAGCGCAAUAAUAAGUUCUGAAAUACCUCAAUUAAUUUCAGAUAUAUUCUUUCAAAUCGAACAUAACUCCGUUACAUCUGUUGAGAUACGAGAAUCUCUGGUUGUAAUUCUUUUACCUAGUUUAGCAAUGGCAGACGUUCCAUCGUUUUUAAACGUGAUUGAAAGACAAAUAUGGUCAACUGCUUCUGAUUCACCAGUUCACAUUGUGUCACUCAUGACUCUCAUCAGAGUAACCCGUGGUUCUCCUAGAAAUUUGGCUCCUUACCUUGAUAAGGUUGCAGGUGGUGAAUUUUGUUUUACAGACAAUGGAUCCUGGCAACUUGGCCAUGCGUAGAAUUUGCUUACAAAAUUCAAUGGCGACGUUAAAGGAACUCGUGCGUGUUUUCCCCAUGGUAGCCUUAAAUGAUUCUUCUACCCGAUUGGCUGUUGGGGAUGCAAUUGGACAUAUUAACAAAUCCAUCAUCCGUGUAUAUGAAAUGCAAAGUAUGACAAAGAUAAAGAUCUUGGAUGCUAGUGGACCUCCGGGACUUCCAACUUUGCUUGGCGGAGUUUCUGAAACGACUGUAAAUACUGCAAUUUCGGUCUUGAGUUUUUCACCUGACGGAGAGGGUUUGAUAGCAUUCUCUGAGCACGGUUUAAUGAUCAGAUGGUGGUCAUUAGGAUCCGUGUGGUGGGAAAAGCUUAGUAGGAAUCUUGUUCCUGUUCAGUGUACUAAAUUGAUUUUCGUUCCUCCAUGGGAGGGAUUCUCUCCUACUUCCACAAGGUCUAGUGUUAUGGCAAGCGUAAUGGGUAACGGGAAGCAUUUUUCACAGGAUAAUUCCCGGGAUUUGAGCGAAAUAGACAGAUUGAAAGCGUUGCUUCAUAACCUUGAUCUCUCAUACAGGCUAGAAUGGGAUGGUGGAAGGAAAGUGUUACUCAAAAGGCAUGGGCAGGAGUUGGGAACAUUCCAAUUAUAAUCGGACAAUUUCCCUCGACUCGAGUCUGCUUUUGGUCAAUAUUCCAUCUCUAAACUUGGCAAACGAUCAACACGGAAGAUAUGUUACAGCCAAAACUAGCCUCUGCCUCCAUGUCGAUGUGCUAAGGGAACUGCUGGCAUUUCGCCACAAUCGUUAGUGCUUAUAAAGAACACAAAUUGAUUCUUUGAUUGCACAGUUUAGUUUUGUUGCUUAUAGUUUCUAUUAUAUUUUGGAAUUACAGAUAUGCCCUCCGUGAUUUUUGGAAUUAUGAGAUGUUGAGAACAGUUUGAGCUAAUGUUGUUAUAUGUAAAAAUUAGAAAGCAAGAGUAGUUAGUGUUAAAUCUUAAAUGUGGUAUGCAAUCA